CGAAGAAAGAUCCAGUCAACCGAAGAUGAGAGGAUUUACGUCGUUAUUUUGGAGCUUUGUGACACUCUAUGUUGCGAAUGCGGUCCAACUACAUAAAGUAAGUGUAUCUCGUAUUAUUAAAAAAUGCAAGCCUAUUAGUGCCUGAAUAUGAAAUCUCCGGAAUUCAUUGGCCGAAAGUUCACAAGAAGUCAGCGGGCGCUGGCACUCAAUUGAACCUGAAGGCUUUCGGAAAAAAUAUUGAAUUGGGGCUGACACCAACGGAUAGAGUGCUCUUUGGACAAGAUACCCCUGUUUACUCACUAGUGUCGAGAAACUCAGACUCUGUUCUAACGAAAAAAAACACAGUGUUGGAGACGGUAAAAGGAUUCGAAGAUUUGGAAAAAGCUGCGGUACUAACGAUUCGUCAAAGAACUGAUAGCAGUCGAGAAAUUAUUGGAACAAUAGCAUCGGAAAAUUUGGUAAUCACAUCAAUUCCUGAACGUCUCAUUGAGGAAGUCAAGAGGCAACGCAGAUCUGUGGAUGACGUUCCCGAGUCCGAGCAAGAUGAUCAUCAUUAUCACAUUGUCUAUAGGAGAGCACCCCCUCCAGUGGAUGACAAAUAUCCUUAUUACUGGCAACCAACAAUACCGCAAAACCAACGGAAGCUCAGGUAACAACAAACAUUUCUCUUGGUGCAUGCUCUAAAGAGCAUAGGAAAUGCUUCAAUCGAUGCGGUAAUCUUUCCAUGAUCGAUGAUCAGAACGCAGACGAAAUAUGUGCCAAGUGCAAAGAAUAUUCACGUGUAUACAUCUUCGAAUGUCCUUUAAAACCUGACACUAUUUACCCUCGAAUAUUAGUUGUCGUUGCUCAUGAUAUCUACAAAAAAUUCAAUGAAAAUUAUACCGAUAAAAUCGCCUACUUGCUGGCAUUUUGGAACGGUGUAGAUUUAAAAUUCAGAUACAUCGAAAAUCCCAUGUUCAGACUAAAUAUCGCGGGUAUUGUAUUAGCUGAGGUAAGAUUCAUAUGAAUAUCGCAGAAUUUUUGAUAAAUUCAAAAUUAAAGGAUCUGUUGACCUGAAUAUUCCUGAUUUGGAUCAACUUUCGUGGAAUACUUCAACUGAAAUUGAGUUCCCCUUGAUUUCUUCAUCCAAAUGUAAAUUUCCGAUGACGGAAUUCCUUCAAAGUUCAGGAAUUGUCACUUGCUUCUUCUUUGAUUUUAUGUUCUGAAAUCUCCAUCUUAUGAAUCGAAUUGUUUCGCUAUGAAUGAAGGGCUCUACGGUCAGGAUGGAGCUUGCCAAAGAUCUGAUGACAUAAAACAGCUUUUCAAAAUAGCUAUGAUUCACGAUAACUUCGGAUUUGAUGGAAUUCUUUCAGCUGUGUAUGAAAUUGAUCACACAAUGGGUGCCAAGCAUAUUGAAAAUUACCAAACAGAUGGAUGCCUCACCGAUAUGGGAUCCAUAAUGUCAAUUGGAGAAUGUCUGACGGAAAAAUCUCACCACUGGUCCAAUUGCACUGUCAAACAAAUCCAAGUAUUCCUCGAGUAAGAUUAACAUCUACAGUAAUCAUCCUAAAUGCUUCAACAAUAAGUUGGACCGGAGCGAAGUAUCGCCUCUAUAUUUCCCUGGAAAGUUCGUGAGCGCUGAUGAGCAGUGCCGAAGGACGGUGGGAACGAAAGCCUGUUUCGUAGACGUUUCAACCUGCCAGGCUUUACACUGCGCCGUCGAUCGUGAGAUACCCGUUCCACAACUCUCAAACGUGAUGACUUUAACCGCCUGUAUCCGUUUUCCCCAUCAUAUUGCUAAUGGCACAGAAUGUGGAAGCGGAAAAAUUUGCUUGGGUGGAGAAUGUAUGGACGAUCCGACAGUGGCACCAUAAAUAUGAAUCGAAUGUGAUGUUUAUUCUUUUGUGUGAUCCACUUUUGGAGACAUUUUACUGUUCAAUAUUUUGUUAAAUUUGAAUACUUUAGGGACAAGUAGAAUAAAGAAACCCUAUCUAUAUA